AACCCUAGACAGGGGAUCACUUGGCUCAUGGGUCGAUGAAGACCGCAGCAAACUGCGCGUCGCUAUGUGAACUGCAGGACACAUGAUCAUUGACAUGUUGAACGCAUAUUGCGCCUUAUACAUUU
rnacentral:rRNA from 1 species